UGGCUUGAGUUUCAUAGAAACGUG
rnacentral:siRNA from 1 species